rnacentral:rRNA from 1 species
AGCAGCCGCGGUAAUUCCAGCUCCAAUAGCGUAUAUUAAAGUUGUUGCAGUUAAAAAGCUCGUAGUUGAAUUUCGGGAUCAGUACGCUGGUCAUGCCUUUGGUAUGCACUGGUGUCACUGGUUUCUCCCUUCUGAAGAUCCGUGAUGUCAUUAAUUUGGUGUCGCGGGGAAUCAGGACUGUUACUUUGAAAAAAUUAGAGUGUUUAAAGCAGGCUCACGCUUGAAUACAUUAGCAUGGAAUAAUGAAAUAGGACGUUUGACCCUAUUUUGUUGGUUUCUAGGAUCGACGUAAUGAUUAAUAGGGAUAGUUGGGGGCAUUAGUAUUCAAUUGUCAGAGGUGAAAUUCUUGGAUUUAUUGAAGACUAACUACUGCGAAAGCAUUUGCCAAGGAUGUUUUCAUUAAUCAAGAACGAAAGUUAGGGGAUCGAAGACGAUCAGAUACCGUCGUAGUCUUAACCAUAAACCUAUGCCGACUAGGGAUCGGAUGAUGUUAAUUUUAUAAUG